GACGAACGCUGGCGGCGUGCCUAAUACAUGCAAGUCGAACGCAGGGGGGACGGGUGAGUAAAACGUGGGUAACCUCCCAUCAGAGGGGAUAACACUUGGAAACAGGUGCUAAACCGAUACUGAUGGCUGGACCCGCGGUGCAUUAGCUAGUUGGGGGGGUAACGGCUCACCAAGGCCACGAUGCAUAGCGGUCCUGAGAGGUGGCUAGCCCAAACGGGGAUUGAGACAGGUCCAAGAUCCCAACGGGAGGAGGCAGGGGGAAAUUUGCGGCAAGGGCCGAAAGUUUGUCCGAGCAAGGCCGGGUGAGUGAAGAAGGUUUGCGGUUGGAAAACUCUGUCGGUAGGGAAGCGGUAUCUAACCAGGAAGCCACGGCUAACUACGUGCCAGCAGCCGCGGUAAUAC
rnacentral:rRNA from 1 species